UUAAAAAAUAUUGUCUAUAAA
rnacentral:piRNA from 1 species